GGGGCGGGUACACGUUUACACUGCCCAAUGCUCCGGUGGUCAACAAGGACGGAACUCCCGGUUCGAAUUCGUCUACGUCCAGCGAGACGUCAAAUUCCUCGCAACAGAACAACGGUUGGAGC